CUAUGUAUGCUUGACCAAUCA
rnacentral:miRNA from 1 species